UCCUACGGGGGGCAGCAGUGAGGAAUAUUGGUCAAUGGGCGGAAGCCUGAACCAGCCAAGUCGCGUGAGGGAAUAAGGCCCUACGGGUCGUAAACCUCUUUUGCCGGGGAGCAAGGGCCGGGACGCGUCCCGGCCCGGAGAGUACCCGGAGAAAAAGCAUCGGCUAACUCCGUGCCAGCAGCCGCGGUAAUACGGAGGAUGCGAGCGUUAUCCGGAUUUAUUGGGUUUAAAGGGUGCGCAGGCGGUCUGUUAAGUCAGCGGUCAAAGCCCGGGGCUCAACCCCGGCCCGCCGUUGAAACUGGCAG
rnacentral:rRNA from 1 species